rnacentral:rRNA from 1 species
CUAGCCGUAAACGAUGGAUACUAGGCGUUGUGAGUAUCGACCCUCACAGUGUCGUAGCUAACGCGUUAAGUAUCCCGCCUGGGGAGUACGCGCGCAAGCGUGAAACUCAAAGGAAUUGACGGGGGCCCGCACAAGCGGUGGAGUAUGUGGUUUAAUUCGAUGCAACGCGAAGAACCUUACCAGGACUCGACAUGUCGCGAAUCUCAGGGAAACUUGAGAGUGCCUUCGGGAGCGCGAACACAGGUGGUGC